UACGUAGGGGGCUAGCGUUGUCCGGAAUCAUUGGGCGUAAAGAGCGUGUAGGCGGCCCGGUAAGUCCGCUGUAAAAGUCAAAGGCUCAACCUUUGAAUGUCAGUGGAUACUGCCGGGCUAGAGUCCAGAAGAGGCGAGUGGAACUCCUGGUGUAGCGGUGGAAUGCGCAGAUAUCAGGAAGAACACCAACGGCGAAGGCAGCUCGCUAGGACGGUACUGACGCUGAGACGCGAAAGCGUGGGGAGCGAACAGG
rnacentral:rRNA from 1 species